UCGUCUGCAGCCAGCCACAGAACUUUCGUAGAAUAAAGGUCCUAAGCUCUCUUUGAUUACCAGAAAUUGUUCUCCCGGUUUCAGAUAAUCUAACUGGCGAAGAGGUUCAGUUAAUUAAUUGGUUACUGAAUCACAAUCCAAGUGCGCGCCCCUCGUCCACGGAAUUGCUUCAAUCCCCGAUUUUGCCUCCUCCACAGCUAGAAGAAGCUGAAUUACAGGAAAUGAUCCGCCAUACUCUUUCCAACACACAGAACAAAGCGUACAAACAUUUGGUGGCUUCAUGUUUUCAGCAAAAAAUGACCAUCUCUGAAGAUCUAGUCUACAAUAUGGACAUGACCUCUUCAGCAGGAUUGCAGCAAUCAUCCUGGAUUUUUCAGGCCGUGCAAGAAUUUGUUGUUAAACAUUGUCAGCGAAGAGGGGCUAUUUACUUUAAAUCUCCGACAUUAUCUCCUAAGAAGAGUCAACCAAAUCAAGGAUUCUCACAGGUUCUUCUGAUGAAUCACGCCGGUAGCAUAGUGACUUUACCAACGGAUCUUCAAACUCCUUUUGCCCGAUUCAAAUCCCCCGUUCCAAUCUCACCUGGCUAAAACGUUACUGCAUAGAUUACGUUUAUAGCGAAAGAAAACUCGUAGGCCUUCCCCAACCCCAAGUCGUUCCCGGAACUCGCAUUCGACAUUGUAACCCCUUCACCGUCAUCAGUACUUGCAGAUGCUGAAGUUUUGGUCACAAUUUCAGACGUUUUCUCCGAUCAGCGCUUGAAAAUUGAAAGGAAAAUAACGCUCGAGUUGGGACAUCAUUUGCUUCUUAAAGCCGUACUGAUCCACUGUGGCAUCCCCGAGGACAAGCGUUUGGAGCUUUGCCACAUACUUAAAAGGCGCUCGAAAUCCGAAGGGAAAAUUCAAAACAAAACAGCGAAAUUGGCUAUCUCGCGCCAGUCGAUUGAUAUGCUUUUAAAUUUGUUGGAAUUGGAAGGAAGUGUGGCCAAGGUUACAACUGCGUUGACAAAUUUAAUAAGUCGGUAAGGAGAAGCAGCAUCUUUGGCCAAACAAGCGCUACACGAGCUUGACGCGAUUGCCACUCACGCUGAGUGCAUGGGGUUACGAAAUACCUAUAGCAUACGCAUCGACACCGCCCUUCAAAACUACACUACCCAUUGAGGUAUGGUCUUCCGAUUUGUUUGUCGAUCGAACUUGAGAAAAACUAAGAUUGACGACGUCUUAGCGACCGGAGGUCGUUACGAUGCAUUGGUCAGAUCUUUUCAGAAUGCACUUGUUAAUCGGAAUAAAGUAGAUGGUGAGCCAAUGAGUCAACCCACAGUAGUUGGUGGCUUCAUCCAUUUAGACAGAGUUGCAGCCAUCCUGAAAGAAACUGAGGUUGUUGAACGUAAUUCGAUUAUUACGGUUUUCAUCAUUAACAUUUCAGUGUGCUUCUUAGAAAAGGGCACGCAGUUUCUUUAUGGAAUCGUGUGGUCCUGACACGGAGAUUAUUGAUCCAACGCUGGCUUUUUCCCAUGACCAACGUUCUGCUCCAUCCUUAUCUUCCCGACGUACGCUCAUCCAGCUUCUUACACAAUAAACAACUUGUCUUACUUCACUGACGAGUUGGAACACUUCAGUGGUCGCUUCCGUGCCGCUGUUACACACAUACAGUCACUCACCACGGGAUUAUGGCCAGGUAAUGCAGAGGAGACGUCGAGAAGAUGGAUUUUCUCAUCUUUAAAUAUCGUCACAAGUCUCCGUCGGAUGUUGCCCCUGCUCCUGGUGCGAACGAAACUCGGUGGAGUGAAUGGAUAAUGCGCCAACAAAAUACUUCUGGUAAUGGAAAGAGACCAUCACUGGAAAACGAUCACUCGAAACGGAAAGUGACAAUCGCUGCCGUCACCGAGACUCGUCAUCAACGUGGAUCAUCGUAUUGUUUGUAUUGUUUCGUUUGUGUUUGUUUACCCGUUGUCUGCCACACCUUGGUUUUCCCCUCUGAGCUCCUUAGCACGGGCUGCGUGCGCUGUUCGGCCUCGUGGUUUUCAUGCCGCGGGAUCGGAGAGUCGCACCAUCCCAAAAUUUGCCGCAAGGCGCCUGUUAGGCAAUGCACCAUAGGGACUUCAUCCUUGUCGAUGCGGUGAUGGAUUCUCCUGUCACCGUGUCAGCCCGGACUUGUCAGCAAUGGCAAGUCCCACCUUGGCCAGGGAUAGUAGAGUAGUAGAGAACAAUCUACGGGUUGUAUGGCGUGGUAGUCUACGGGUUAAUUUAAUUAUAUGUAUGUAUGUUUAUAUGUGUCUUUAAAAUGUGUGGUGGAAUUGUGAGUGGAUGUGGGACAAUAAAGCAAUUCCUUUUAA